UGUAAUUAAUUGCCCAACCUGCGUCUCGCAGGGGAGCGAUCCGGAGCGUGUUCGCCCUCCUGGCACACGAGGAACAGUGAAAUCCUUUCCCCCAGCCCUGGGGCGAUGUCUGGGGGCUGUUUCUGGGCUCCGUGGGGCCCGCAGCAGCGAGUGAGUGAGGAGACUUGGAACAGCCCGCACCGGUGUGUGCGAGGCUGGGAAAAGGUGUGUGCUAACAACCGGGAGCGCUAGGCUGCCCCUCGGCCGGAGCCGGGCACGGAUGCGGUGGCACCGUGCGCGUCCCCUCCCCGGCCCUGCCUACAAAAGGAUCGCGGCUCCCCCGGCACCGCGCACCCCGCCCGGCCUCGCCCCUGCUCCCAUGUCACAGCCCGCAGCGACGGCAUGAAGAAAUCCUCGUAUUCAGGAAUCACCCGGACCUCCAGCGGGAGACUUCGGAGGCUCAGUGACCAGACAAGUCCCACUCUGAAAAGAUCCUUUGAGGUCGAGGAGGUAGAUCAGUCUUCAAAUUCCUCCACCCCACAAAGACGGGCCCCAAACACCCUCCUCAGGUCCACCGUGUCCAGCUCCACGCAGAAGUUUCAGGAACUCGGCGCCAGGAAUUCGGAGCCAUCCACCCGCCAUGCGGAGCCCACAGUCCAAAGAUCCCCCAAACCCCCUCUGAGGAGAGUGGAGCUCUCUGGACCCAAACUGCCCGAGCCGGUGUCCAGAAGAACAGAAAUCUCCAUCGACAUCUCAUCCAAGCAGGUGGAGAACUCCACCUCGGCCUUGUCGCGGUUCGGCCUCAAACGAGCGGAUGUGGGGCACAAACCCCCCGAGGCGGCGGCCAGGAGGACUGAGAUCACCCUGGGCAAGCCCCAGGAGCUGCGCAGGGCUGAGGCCCCACCGGCCUCCAAGAUCCCCGAGCUGCCACAGCGCCGGGCCGAGCCCGCCGCCGCCACCACCACGGCCACCGCGCCCGACGCGGCCCCGCGCCGCCUGGACAUCCAGGUGGCCAAAGCUGCUGAGGCCCCGGCCAUGAGGCCAGCGGAGAGCUCAGAGCCUGCCCUGCCCGCCCAGCACCACCAGGCAGAGCCAAAGCCGCAGCCCGUGCCCGUGGAGAGCCCGCCCAAGAGAGAAGAAGGUCCCGAGGCCGUGCCCAGCCACGCUCCCGGCAUGACGGACGCUCCGCGGGAUGCCGGCCCCAAGCAGGCGGCACCGGCGCGGCCGGAGAAGCCGGCUGCCGACUUCGGCUACGUGGGCAUCGACGCCAUCCUGGAGCAGCUGAGGAGGAAAGCCAUGAAACAGGGCUUCGAGUUCAACAUCAUGGUUGUGGGUCAGAGUGGCUUGGGGAAAUCCACGUUAAUCAACACCCUCUUCAAAUCCAAGAUCAGCCGGAAAUCUGUACAGCCAACUGCUGAGGAGAGGAUCCCCAAGACCAUUGAAAUCAAAUCCAUCACUCACGAGAUUGAGGAGAAGGGGGUCCGCAUGAAGCUGACGGUCAUCGACACGCCGGGCUUUGGGGACCACAUCAACAACGAGAACUGCUGGCAGCCCAUCAUGAAUGAUUCCCUCUCUGUCUGCUCUUUGAAUUCCCCCUCCCUGCCAGGGGAUUGCAGCAGCCUGGGAGUGCAAAUCCCCUUUUUCCGGCCGUUUUGCAGGCUCCGGCCGCUGGACAUCGAGUUCAUGAAGCGCCUGAGCAAAGUGGUGAACAUCGUGCCGGUGAUCGCCAAGGCCGACACGCUAACGCUGGAGGAGAGGGACUACUUCAAACAACGGAUAAUGGCAGAUCUCCUGGCCAACGGGAUCGACGUGUACCCCCAGAAGGAGUUUGAUGAGGACUCCGAGGACCGGCUGGUGAACGAGAAAUUCCGGGAAAUGAUCCCAUUUGCAGUGGUGGGCAGUGACCAGGAGUACCAGGUGAAUGGAAGAAGAAUCCUUGGGAGGAAGACCAAGUGGGGCACCAUUGAAGUGGAGAACACGACACACUGUGAGUUCGCCUACCUGCGGGACCUCCUCAUCAGGACACACAUGCAGAACAUCAAGGAUAUUACCAGCAACAUCCACUUUGAAGCCUACAGGGUGAAGAGGCUGAACGAGGGCCAGAGCUCUCUGUCCAACGGCGUGGCCGACAAGGAGCUGGUGGCCAACGAGAUGUAACCGUCCCUCAGCCAGGACCUCGCUCGCUCACGCUCGCUACCCCUCCCCUCUUCCCCCUUUAUUUUUAUAUAAAUCCUCUGCCACUGUCCCUCUUGCCCUGGUCCCCGACCCCCUGCCAUGUAAACUGACCAAAUAACCCCACGUGGAGCGGGGUGGCCGCUCUCCCCCAGCUUUGUGCCAUGAGUUCUGUGCUCAGCCCCCAGAGCAGCGUCCCCAGGGCCGGGGACCAUCCCUCUGUGGAGCCUGGGCUCUGGCUCGCCCCCAGCUCUGGCCCCACAGCCAAACCCAGGGGAGCAGAUCUGUGGGGCCAGCGGGGUUGGGGUGUCCUGGGAGCCCUCCCAGCCCCUCCAUGCAGGGGAUCCUCUCCGUCCGUUGAAGGCCAGGGUUCCUCCAGGUGGAUGUAGCCUUCGGGAGCAAGGUGCGGUGGGAUGAAGAGAGCAAGACAGUGCCAUCCUUGUGUCCUGCCGCCUCCUCCGAGCCCUCUGCAGCCCUCUGGGACCCACCAGUCCCCAACCCAGCCCCUGUACCCCUGUCUACAUGCAAUAAACUGGGAGUGUUUAGGUGUCA
rnacentral:lncRNA from 1 species